CCUGUCCCGGAACCGGUUUCCCGAGGUACCCGAGGCAGCAUGCCAGCUGGUGUCCCUGGAAGGCCUGAGCCUGUACCACAACUGCCUGAGAUGUCUGAACCCCGCCUUGGGAAACCUCACAGCCCUCACCUACCUCAACCUCAGCCGGAACCAGCUGUCAUCCUUGCCACCCUACAUCUGCCAGCUUCCCCUUCGCGUGCUCAUUGUCAGCAACAACAAACUGGGAGCCCUGCCUCCCGACAUCGGCACCUUGGGAAGCCUGCGGCAGCUGGAUGUGAGCAGCAAUGAGUUGCAGAUCCUCCCCGCAGAACUGUGCAGCCUCCGGUCCCUGCGUGAUCUCAACGUUCGCAGGAACCAGCUUAGCACCCUGCC